rnacentral:lncRNA from 1 species
ACUAGGCUAGAAAUGACACGACCCAUCCCGAAUCAUCCUAAUAAACUCGACACGUGUUGUGCGCCGAUGAUAGAUACCAGUUAAGAGCCGGACCCACCAUCAAGGCAACAUUGACUUGUAUUGACUAUGAUAUGCUUUGUAAAAAUUUUGGCAGAGUCCCCCCUAAAUUAUAAACUAAACCCACUUGAAAUAUAUAAUCCAAUAUCCCAAACAAAUACGUAUAGUUUAAAAUAGGGUACACUGACUCACAGAAAAUCAACUAUUCAAAUACAACACUGACAAUUUGACAUUCGCAACAAUUUAUAAACCACAGUACCCAAAAUGCAUAAUAUAUACAAAACAUAGCAGGCCCAAAACAUGGAACUAAUUUCUGACCAAAAGAGCUGUCUAUUCCAAAAUAUGACCUAUUACACUGAUAAGAUGAGUCAUACAAUGCUUGACAAUUUAUAGUUCAACUCGAUAGAUCAACUGGCUCAGUAGUGCUCAACUCAGCUACUAUCUGUCUGAUAAGGAAAAAGGGUAAAAGCAAUAUGAGCUAAUAGCUCAGUGAGUGGAUAAUUUGCAAAUAAGUAAACUUUUUCCAUUUAUCCAUAUUUUCUUAAAAUUCUUGCUCUAUUAACACUUUGAGAAUUCUGAAAUCUGAUAAAACCUUUAGAACUAAAACAUGACUGCAUCAUAAGAUUCUUUGUUCUUUAUUCGAGAUAAAUAACUGUAAAGUACAACAAAUUUUGGUACCCAUGAUAAUCUAUGAAAUAUUGUUCUUACUCAAUACUAUAAACUGAAAACUUUAUUCUUAGAACUUAAUAACUGAAUUCUAUAAUCUGGUCAUACAUACACAGAGCUACAUUUACCUUAAUGUACUCAUUAUUCUUGAUGUCUGUAUCAUAACAUCGUAUAAACUCAAAGUUCUGGUACUAAAUCAUAAAUUAGACUCAAGCUGAUAUAUAAAAGAAAGAUGAUAAUAAUUAAUACAAGAUGAGUGAGAACAUUAGACAAACUCACUAAGCUAAAAUCAUCAUCUGAAAUCCAUAAGCUGAACUGUAAACGGGAAAAUGUAAGCUGAAAGCUAAUAAUCCGCUAUAUACUUAAAAUUCACAUCAAAAUAUACUCCAUGUAAUCAUCUACGAUGAUCUGAAAGCUAUAAAAUCAUAUGCACAUAAACCGUCUGACCAACACUCUGUACACGGCCGUAGCCCCUCAAUGUACAAGAUGAAAACAACAUAAUCAUUCUUAUACACGGCUGUAGCCCCUCAGUGUAUGAUAGGUACCCUUACACACGGCCGUAGCCCCUCAGUGGGUAAGAGUUACCUUUAUACACGGCUGUAGCCCCUCAGUGUAUAGGAGUUAAAUACAUGACUCUAGUACACGGUCGUAGCCCCUCAGUGCAUUAGAGUAGGAUAAUCACAUCAAUUAUUUAAAUGAUAAUUUCAAAACAAUUAUGCUCGUUUACUAAUUCUCGAAAAUAAGGCAUUUCAUGUAAUUAAUAUGCUUUAAAAUAAAAAGAAAAUCUUCUUUUUUAAAAUAUAGAUUCUCCACUCACAGAUCUAUGAAUAGAAAUCUGAUUCAAUUUUACCAGCCUUGCCCAGCUUUCACGUUACCGCCUGAAAUAUGAUAUAAAAUAACUAAUUUAACAACUUCCAUACUAAGUAUUUCUUAACACUAGUAAUCGAAUACUAAAACUUGACUUCUCGAUACUUGAAUAAUAUUUUCCCCCAAUUUCCUUUAAUCACUUCAAACUAAUUUCACUUUCUAGUCCAUUUCUUAAUAGCUAAUUCAUUACAAUAAUCUUCCCUCCAAACAUAAAAAUAAUUCCUUCUUCCAAACUAGUAAAAUUAAUAAUCAUAAUUUAGCCAAUUUAAUUUCCCAUCUUGAUCCAUAAAUUCAUGCCUUCAAAUGAGUAUUUCAUCCUUACAAAAUUUUCCCGUUAACUAAACUCAUUCAAAAACCCAAAUGAAAAUUCUAGGAUUUUGCCCAAAAUUGGUAUUUCUUACCUUAGUGUAAAUAGCAUCUCUAAUUCAAAAAUAUUGACUUGAAAACAUAUAUAUUCCUUCCUUAAAAUCUGAAAAUUAAACAAAUAAAAUCAAAACUCUAAAAAUUUAAGCAUAAAUCAUACCAUAUCUUUUAAAGAAAUUAGACAAAUUGAAAAUGAAAUUGGAAUAGCCACUACCUCUUUUCCUUUCUUUUUCCUUUCUUUCCUUUUCUUCUUUUUCUUCCCUCUUUUCUUUCCCUUUUUCUUCUUCUCUGCCGGUUCUUUCUUUCUUCUAGUGUGUGUGUGUGUGUGUGAUUUAUGAGAGAAAAAGUGAUGGUCAAAGGCAUUAAAAACCCACUAACUCCAAAUUGCAAGAAAAGUCCCUCUU